rnacentral:rRNA from 1 species
UGAUUAGCUAGUUGGUAAGGUAACGGCUUAACAAGGCGACGAUCAGUAGCCGACCUGAGAGGGUGAUCGGCCACAUUGGAAGUGAGACACGGUCCAAACUCCUACGGGAGGCAGCAGUGGGGAAUAUUGCACAAUGGGCGAAAGCCUGAUGCAGCAACGCCGCGUGAGUGAUGAAGGCCUUCGGGUCGUAAAACUCUGUCCUCAAGGAAGAUAAUGACGGUACUUGAGGAGGAAGCCCCGGCUAACUACGUGCCAGCAGCCGCGGUAAUACGUAGGGGGCUAGCGUUAUCCGGAUUUACUGGGCGUAAAGGGUGCGUAGGCGGUCUUUCAAGUCAGGAGUGAAAGGCUACGGCUCAACCGUAGUAAGCUCUUGAAACUGGGAGACUUGAGUGCAGGAGAGGAGAGUGGAAUUCCUAGUGUAGCGGUGAAAUGCGUAGAUAUUAGGAGGAACACCAGUUGCGAAGGCGGCUCUCUGGACUGUAACUGACGCUGAGGCACGAAAGCGUGGGGAGCAAACAGGAUUAGAUACCCUGGUAGUCCACGCUGUAAACGAUGAGUACUAGGUGUCGGGGGUUACCCCCUUCG